rnacentral:lncRNA from 1 species
GGCAUUCCUGGUCCCUCAGGCCCUCCAGGUGCCAAGGGCCUCCCAGGAGAACCGGGCUCUCAGGGACCUCAGGGGCCAGUUGGUCCUCCAGGAGAGAUGGGACCCAAGGGGCCGCCUGGUGCAGUGGGAGAACCUGGCCUUCCUGGGGACUCCGGUAUGAAGGGUGACCUUGGACCUCUGGGCCCUCCUGGGGAACAAGGGCUCAUUGGGCAACGGGGAGAGCCAGGCCUCGAGGGAGACCUUGGCCCAGUGGGGCCAGAUGGGCUGAAGGGGGACAGGGGUGACCCAGGUCCUGAUGGUGAACAUGGUGAAAAGGGUCAGGAAGGACUGAAAGGAGAGGAGGGGCUCCCUGGGCCCCCAGGCAUCACUGGUGUCCGGGGUCGUGAAGGGAAGCCUGGCAGUCAGGGUGAGAAGGGCCAGAGGGGAGCUAAGGGUGCCAAGGGCUACCAAGGACAGCUGGGAGAGAUGGGCAUCCCUGGAGACCCUGGCCCCCCUGGCACCCCAGGUCCUAAAGGGUCCCGGGGCACCCUAGGACCAAUGGGUGCUCCAGGACGGAUGGGAGCCCAAGGAGAACCAGGAUUGGCUGGUUAUAAUGGGCAUAAAGGCAUCACGGGACCUCUCGGGCCUCCCGGGCCCAAAGGCGAGAAGGGGGAACAGGGCGAGGAUGGCAAGACUGAGGGGGCCCCCGGGCCACCAGGAGAGCGGGGUCCUGUGGGUGAUCGAGGAGACCGUGGGGAGCCAGGCGACCCUGGAUACCCUGGUCAAGAGGGUGUUCAAGGCCUCCGUGGAGAACCAGGCCAGCAGGGCCAGCCCGGGCAUCCAGGACCCCGGGGACGCCCAGGACCCAAAGGAUCAAAAGGCGAAGAGGGCCCAAAGGGAAAGCCAGGCAAGGCGGGGGCAUCAGGCCGGAGGGGGACCCAGGGGCUUCAAGGGCUGCCAGGGCCGAGAGGUGUAGUAGGGAGACAGGGCCCUGAGGGCAUGGCUGGACAAGAUGGGAAUCCUGGCAGGGACGGUCGGCCAGGAUAUC